rnacentral:rRNA from 1 species
AGCUCCAAUAGCGUAUAUUAAAGUUGCUGCAGUUAAAAAGCUCGUAGUUGCAUUUCCGAGGCAAGGGAUUAGUCCGACCUUUGGUGGGUAUUUAAUCCUCUUGCCUCGUCCUUGAGUGGUGCUUCUUGGUAUUAAGUUAUCGAGGCGAUAGCCGCUCAUCGUUUACUGUGAGAAAAUUAGAGUGUUCAAAGCAGGCUUAUGCCGUUGAAUAUAUUAGCAUGGAAUAAUAAGAUAGGACCUCGGGACUAUUUUGUUGGUUUGAGAACCAAGGUAAUGAUGAAUAGGGACAGUUGGGGGUAUUCGUAUUCAGUUGUCAGAGGUGAAAUUCUUAGAUUUACGGAAGACGAACUACUGCGAAAGCAUUUACCAAGGAUGUUUUCA